GUAGAAGUUAGCAGGAGGAGGAACGGGAGUUUGCUUGGAUUGGCUGGCGCGGCAACGUGCGGAGCGCUGAUUGGUGGCAGGGAAAUGGAAUGAUUCUGCGUGGAUGUGGACUGGCAGGAGCCGGAGCGAGGUACCCCUGAGAUAAGCAAUCUGAAACCUAGGAUGGUCCAGCAAGUUGCCCACAGGUGCUUCCACAGGGAAGGGAAGCACUAAACAGGCAAUGUUACCCAAAGAUUAUGUGACCAUUCAGAAGUUCCCCCGACCAGUCAGGAAAAAUUGUACACUUUUAAGGGCCUGUGGAGGAAAACCACUGAAGAGCAGAGGGAAGAGAAGGGAGGCACUGACUUCUGGCAAAUACCAGUUCUGCACCAACUAGCUGUGGGACUCUUUCUCAAUCUCCUCAUCUGUAAGGGUGGUAAUAAGGGAUCUUUAAAGUGUCUUACAGCUUUAAAAAUCUAUCAUUUCAACUCUUAUUUGAAUAAAAUCCAAUACAUUUGGAGAAAAUAAAAGGUAUUUUCAGUAUUCCAAGGUAUGACGAAGCUUGUUAAGGACAUUUUAGAUUGUUAAUGUCUUAGAACAGACUUCUUGACAUAAAUUCAAACUGGAUAUUGUUGGAGGAUGUCGUUGAGAGGACAUGACUGCCAAUUGACCUGCAAGCUGGACUUGGGCAAUCGGAGGCUCCUUACACCCUCCCCAUCCUUGGAUUGUACAUUCUGCCCACUGUUCCCAAAGUGGGAGCCAUUUUUAAGGAUGUAUCCUUGAGAGAGCAGUGUGUUAUUGAGACCAUCUGGAUGGCAUACAUGACUGAACCCAGUGAAGGCCUCUGUAUAAACUUUUAAGAUUCUGGUGGGCAAAUAUGGAGAUCUACUCAUCCUGCAGCCACCCAAGACAAGCCUUGUGAGUCUUACUCUUUUGUUACAAUUUGUCAGUUUCCCCUCUGGAUCUGGGAGCUUUCGUCAGCCAACCAAGGACCAGCUUUCUGAACUUCUUUUCCUUUGGACACAGCACUGGGAUGCAAAAUUCUGAAGAAUUAUGCCUGUUUGCCCACUGGUCAGGAGUACACAUGGUCAUAGACUGAUUAAAACAAGAUUUUCUGCAGAACGUGGCUGAUUUUCCAAAGUGCAGUGACGCAGUUCCUUUUUGCUCCCUAUCCCCACCAUACCCUCUCUGGACUGGAUUCAUGAGAAGACAGUUUUCAGUUGAAGAAACUCAGGCACUUAUGGAAACAACACUGAAUAGAAAUGUCCUAGCUGAGGAUCUGGAUAGAAGAAAGCUCCCCAGAGAAACCCAUAGCCGUGUAGCUUCAUUUGAUCCUCUCAGAAUCAGCAUUGUGGCUAAACUCCAAUGGAGUCAGUUUCUCUCAUUGCUCUUCAUGAGGACCGUCUAUUUUUCUUUCAGAUUUCUAAGCUACCACUGCAGAUAUCGAAGCACAAUCAAUUGUUCCUUAGUAAGUUGGAGGAUACUUUGAAAGUAGACCUGGAUUAGUCAUGGCACAAAAUUUUUUCAUCACAAAUAUUCCAAAAAAUAUUUCUCAAAGUUAGGAUAGACUUUCUGUGUUUCCCUG
ensembl:lncRNA